GGAAACUGAUUGUUUUAUCUCUUUGUAACCCAAACACCUGUAAAUCUACUUCACCAAGCUUUGACAGUAUCUGAACACUUAUUGAUCUUAAAAUGGUACAAAAACCUUUACUUGUUUGCCAGUCAACAAAGAACCACUGACUGAGCACUCUGAAGGAGAGUUAAAGGUUUUAAGAGAAUGAAGAAAAUUUCAAACGUUCACUAAGGAGAACGGGGAAAAGAGUUGACUAAGAAAAUAGAAAAGGAUACCAAGAAAUCAUUGAAGAAGAGAUUAAAGUUAGAGGACAUUAUUUUGUAUUUGCAUAAAUGUGCAUGUUUCAAUUUUUCUCCAGCACAUACAUUACUCUGGGCAUGAGCACAGAAAGCAAGACAAUUGCCAGGAGAAUGUAAUGAAAAAUGAGUUGAAACACUGAAAAAGAUAAAGUACAUCAGUGGAAUAUGAACAGAUUAGGGAAUAAAAUAAAGAAGAGGAGUGGGCUGUGGAAAUAAAAGGAAUCACAAAACUGGAGGCUCAGUGAAGUUAAAGAACAUGUGGACUAGGAAAACCAAGAUGGUUGAAAAGACAGCAGAUUGUGAACACACAAAAAAUUCUGAGCUUAAAUUGUCAGCAGCAGUAAAGCAAUAUCAAGUAAUGAGAAUUCCAGCUGUGAGGCUGUAUGAGUGAUUUGCUGGAGAGGCACAGAAUUAUAGGUCAAUGGAGAUAAAGUCAUCCAUAAACUACAAACAAGCGAGUUGAAGGAGCCAUCCAGGGACAUUUAGAAAUGUGGUUUAGUCAAAUGGCAUGAAACUUUCAGAAAUAAAGGUAUGAAUACAUUAUGUUAAAUGUCAUAAAAACACCACUGUUAUGGUAUGAAACAACUUCACAAUUUCUAAAGGCUUAUUUUUCAUGCUUUAUACUUGAUG
rnacentral:lncRNA from 1 species